rnacentral:lncRNA from 1 species
AAACCUUAAUGCCAUUCAGAACAAAGUCUUGAAACUUUGCCAAAAGAAAAGAUGUAGAAAAAAUGGAGACCAGAAGAUGGUAAACAGCUCAGAAAAACUUCGAACACGAGUAAAACCAGACCUAUGAGAAGGUUCCAGGAAUCAAGCCGUUCGGCUCAUGUGACCACUACCUCGAAUUCCGCUGGCCACUGAAGUUUCAACGCUAGUUUAGAUCUCCUUCUUGAAAUUUAAAUAAUUAUAUUACACCAACCAGCCAAACUUUCUCUCUUCUUCUCGCCUAUUUGCCAACCCCAAGCCACCUAGUUACUAUUCUCCACCUCAAUCUCGGCAGCUGCGACCCAGCAUUCACAGAUAGGUGCUCUUGCAGUGAAUCAAUGAGCCUUCUCUGAGAGAUGGAACCAUGAUUCCCUCCCUUGGGAGGAGACGAGGGGUGGUGUCGUGCUCCUGGGUCGUUGCCGUGUUCCUUGUGCAAAUGGUAAUCUUCCUUCACUCCACCAUGCUCGCGGAGGGAGCACGUUCUUCUACCUUCUUAGACUUGGCUCCCCUUUCGGUUGCUCCGAGUGGAGUGGUGAUGUUCGAUAGCCAUGACAACCAUACGAAUGAAGAUUACUUGGCAGGAGCAGAUAAGAGGAAGGUCCCCAAUGGCGCGAAUCCCCUUCACAAUAGAUGAAAUGCGUCGCGAAGCCUCCCCCUACUCCCAUGUAUGCUCUAUUGGCUUGUUCAAUUAGCUAGCAUAAAUUUUAGAAGGUAACAUGCACAUCAGAAGGGAGCUCUUGUACGAGGUCAAACAGUAAAGAUGAUUGAUUACCAGCAGCUGAUGCUUCGAACAGUAACUCUUCACCACCUUCUGUGAGCUAACUCUUUGCUUCUGGUAGAUGUAAUUGCCUUGUAACAUGGAACUCUAUGAGCCUUCUGCUAGAUGUGAUUUUAUUUUCUACUUUCCUUUAUAUGAUUUCCUUCUUUCCCUCCUUGGGGCGAAGAAUUAUAUAUGAGGAGGAAUAAAAAGGCUUCAAGUCUUUGCUUUUGUUGUAUUUUCCUUAUGCAAUAUCUUGAUGCCAUUAGCAGGGUAGUUACAUGCA